GAAGCUCGAAGAAAUCGAGAACAUUAGGAACGACUGGUUCCUCUUUGAGCAAAAAGACGACGCAUCGCAUGAAUGUGGGGAACUUCUGCACGGACAAAGGAAAAGAUCCAAUGACCGAAGAAGAGGUUCAACAUAAGGUCAACGAGGCUGUCGAGAGAGCGAUGGCUCGUCAGAAUGAGCAGAAUGAGGCGAUGGCUCGUCAGAAUGAGCUGAAUCAUGAGGCGAUGGUUCGUCAGAAUGAAGACUUGGCUCGUAAGAAUGAAGAGUUGGCUCGUAAGAAUGAAGACUUCAUGACUCGUCAAAUGACGUUCUUCCAACAAUACAACUCCGCAAUGCUCGCUCAAAAUCCAAACAUGCGCUUACCGGAGUUUCUGACAAUGUUCAACAACAAUGCAGCGCAAAACAUGUAUACUCCUGGAGCGUCAUCUUCUAGAGCCGCCGCACCGACUACUCAACUACCAACAACGCAAGAAACACCGACUACGCCACAAGAAGAGCACACCGCUUCGCGCGCAGGUAGAUCGAUAAUAUUUACGAAAGAAGCGCUACGAAAGGUGGUCGGAACUAAGAAAAAGAAAAAGAGCGAAAAAAAGAAGUUAAAUUAGUGACUGUCGAAGUUAAUUUCUGUUAUACAU
rnacentral:lncRNA from 1 species